GUCAAUGUGGUAAGAUCCACAGUGCUAGAAGUGCAUGGGCUCCAUAGCCUGAAGCCCAGAAGAGCCUGGCAUCACCCUGAACUACCUGUAUCUUCCUAUCUCUAAGGAUAAGAUGUCUAUUUAUACAUGGAUCAACUGGAUGAACCUUCAGCAUGACUACAAAAAAGGGCUCAAAUUAAUAUCUGUCACACAAUUUAGACACCACUCUAAUGGGAGCCUUUAUUUCUUUGAGGGAAAUGGAAAUGGCUGAAGAUAACUGCUUUUCCCCAGUUUAAUGCAGAAAAAUAUUUUCCAAUCAGCUUCCACAGAAACACUGCAUGCUUGUCACUCUUUUCUGCAAUAGGAGAGGUAUAGGUGUGGAGAGAAAAUUUUAUUUCCUCAAAAGCAAAAUGUCACAAGACAAAGAGCUCAUUAUUUGAUCAUAACAUCCUGACCUGUCUGCCCAGUCUGCCACCACCAGAUCUCAGCUCCCCUCUCCACAAAUAUCUGUCAAGACUUUGGUGUCCAGUAUUUCUUAAAAAAAAAACAAAAAAACAAAACAAAACCAAAAAACAAACAUCAUAAAUGUCCUAAACUUUCUUAAUGCUGAAAAUCUGUCCCAUUCUAUUUUACAGCUGCACAAGUGACAACAGGUAUAUCUCUACUGGAGUGCCUUACUGAUUGGAUAGAACUCAGACUGUGGAAGAAACCAGCUGCUUCAUCUUCUGAGCAUCCAUGUCUUGACCUCUGUCACUGGCCUUUAUAAUUCAGUUAUUUUUAGGGCAGGUUCUUUCCUUCCUGGCUAGGAGUUAACACAGUCUCUCCUGUGAUCCCUGAAUCUCUUCCAGGAAGAGUCCUGACCUUGUGAUGUUAGGAAGCGCCUACCUUCCCUGGAGCCAUGGGCUCAGGUCUCAGCACAGCUGACUCGUGUUGGCUGAUGCUGCUUUGACCUCCACGUGCUCUGAGAGGGCUCAGGGCUGGACAACGAGGGGCAGCCCAAACUCACCCCACAGACUGUCCCUGAGCAAGGCAUCCCCGUGUCCCUUGCACACUGGCACCCCCUGGUCAGCACCUGUGGGACUGUGCUCUUGCCUUCCCCCAUCUCGCCGCUCCAUCACUCCUGGAGGUGAUAAGGGAGCAGAGCGUGGGCACUUCCUGGGCGUGGGCAGAUCUGUUGGGCUUGGUCUUUUCAUGCAGGUGCUAGAGGGGAGAUUCUUGUCUUCUUUGGAGCACGGAGUAGCUGGAGGCACAAACCAACCACUUGUGUGGGGAAGAGUGGGGGAUGAUCUUUCACACAGGCCCUUCAGAUGGGAUGUCCUCUUGCUGUGGAAACAUGUCACAAAUCACUUGUAG
rnacentral:lncRNA from 1 species